rnacentral:sRNA from 1 species
AACUUGCUGAGGACUGAUAAAAUGAACAUGCGUGUCUAUCGUACCAGCUGUUGCGAUCAAACCUUCACCUGCAUACACUUCGGUACCAACGCCAAUAAUCAUAUCCUGAUCUACACCGUCCAUCGUAAGCGGAUUUCCCGCUUUUCCGACUCCAAUGAUGCGGCCAUCUUUAAUACCGAUAUCAGCUUUCACAAUACCUGUAUAGUCGAUAAUCAUAACGUUCGUAAUAACUGUAUCGAGGACACCUUCAGCU